GGAAGAAGGAGCAAAGCUGCAGGGCUGUGAGCUUGGGGAACAAGCCAGUGACCAAAACUCAGGGUUCUCUAUUCACCCCUGGACUGCUGGCCAGGUGGCCUUCCCAGCCCUGGGUUUUGGUCACUGGCUUGUUCCCCAAGCUCACAGCCCUGCAGCUUUGCUCCUUCUUCCU
rnacentral:miRNA from 1 species